AUGUGCUUUAUGCUAUUUUGGCUGAUACUUACAGCAAACCUUCUCCUGUGGCCCACGAGUGAAUUAAGGGAAGGAAAGCACUCAGUCAUGAGUUUCCAUCUCUGGCAUGCCUUGCGAUCACCAUUCCUGCGCGUCUACAGCAGAUCCCAUACUGUUGUUCUCAUUUCCCACUGGCUGCAGAUUCAGAUUGCAAAUGCACUCAUGGUUACUCAAGAGAGCGAGUGCAGAUGUCUUCGCUGUGUUUCUGUCUUUCGUCUGCAUCUGCCCGCAUCCGUGCGCUAAUGAGAUUCUUAGAGGCCUGAUUAAGCACACUGCGCUCAAACCUCAGCUGUGACAAUGACAGGCCCAUCCAGCCCCGGUGGAGGACAUGACCUGCAAAAGGGCAGCUAGAAGGCAGUUCAACAAAACGUCUGAUCAUGAAGGAUGGGCAGAGACUUGGUGAAGGAGAGAUAGAGAAGUUUCUCUUCCAUUGUUGCUCAAGGUCACUUUCCUUUCCACUUGCUGAAGAACAAGUGUCUCCUGCCUUGAGACUUGAUAGAUGUCUCAUUCUGGGCCGACACUGUGGGCACCAUAUGAGAAUAAAUGCAUGAUAACGCCCUCCACAGUAAAGCUCACAAGAGAGUUAUGAUUAUUUCCAAUUAAAAGUAAGCGAUUCAGUUGUCAUGGAGGAGUAAUGGAAAUUCAUAUUCUCAGACUAGGAAACCCCUCACCCUAAAGGUAAUAUGCUGGAAAUGACUGUCCCUAUUCAUUCCUCAAAGCACCAGUAGAUUUAUGCAAAAUGCUUUAAGAGGUAGCGCUAUUGUCAUUAAAAGCAAAGGACAACGUAAGGGCAUCAUGCAUGGCUCAUAUGCACCAAACAGCAGAACACAUUCACCUUAGGUUCACUCUACAUGAAGGUGGUGGCUCUGUAUUAGUAUUGGAUAUAUAAAUACAUUAAACACAUUGCAUAUCAUUUUAAUUUCAUAUUUGCUUGUUAAUUUGUAUAGAUGAAUGGAAGACAUCCAUGCAUUUCCAUAUCUCUACAUCUGAAAGGGUAUAAAAAUUAGGUCAAGUUUAGGUUUGCAACACAAUUAUUAUAAUUUUAUAUAUUUCAAAACAAAGUUACAGCACGACAGCAUCUUGCCAAAAAAAAAAAACUAACUACAGAACUGCCACAAUUUUUUUUGUCCUCCUAUAAACCUCCACUCAAAUUUUAUACUACACAUGCAAUAGGUUUGUGCUCAAAUACUGUAAAGUAGUAAAUUGCCAAGCAGGUUUCAUUUCUUGGCACAGUUAAAGUUUAUUGUUAAAUGAUCAUAACUGUCAGUAAAUAAACCUUUAUUCCUUGGCAUUCUGUACACAAUAACAUAAAUUUUAUCAAAUCUAUUCGAGUCCGACUCAGUUUGGCAUUAAUGGUAGAACACUGUAUCCUGGUUCUUUAUCAUUUUACCUUAUUUGACGCAAGAACUGCACUGUUCUGAGACACUUUGGUGAAAAACCGCCAAGUGAAAUAGAAGUUAUGUGGUUGUUCACAUAUGAAAUGCUUUAAUGUCUUGAUGUCUUGAUAGUAAGUUUUGUUCACCACCAUAUUGGAAGAAAAAGAUUAAAUGUAUAAAAAUUCUCAUGAUCUACAACAGAUAUCAAGAUGCACUAAGCGUUUAUUUAUAGUGCUUAAUUUAUCCAUCCAGGAGUUAGUGUGAGGCAGUAAUCCAUUACUAGGAUGGAGUGUGAGCACCAUCUGGUGGCUGUAAAAUUGGAUUUUCUGGACAAUAAAUUCAACUUUCUUUGCAAAUUGAUAUACACUAAAAAAACAGGGUUGGAUUUAGUGAAUUGGGGCCCCAGGCAAAUAUAGGAAUGGGGCCCUAUAUAUUUGCACACAUUUACCUAGAAUAAUCACAACUUAAUCACACAUUUUUAUCUGUUCUAAACAUACCUUAAAUUAAUACUUUUCCCCCUGGUUUCACAAACAAGGUUUAAGCUAGUCCCAGACUAAAAUGCAUGUUUGAGUUGUCUCAACUGAAAACAUCUUGCUCUGACAUAUCUUAAAAUUCAUUGUUCUGUGUCAAGAUGCACACCUGUAACAUUUUCUUCUAAGGCAUUUUUGUAAAAGUUGCUUAAAUAUCUUAAUUUAACUAAGGCCUAGUCCUGGCUUAAGCUAAACCCCGUUUGUGAAACCGGGCCUUCAAGUUUUUAAUCUAAUCAACAUGUGCAUGGACAAACAUGGAUGCCUUAUGCAAUAUAUGUUUAUUAUUAGUGAAACCAUAGUUAACAGAGCAUGAAAAGUAGACAUGUUUCAUAGGUCAUAGAUGUUUUUCAAAGAACUUGUUCAUGUCUAUUAGACACGUGGAGAAAAAAAAAACAGAAAUACUAGGUUCCUAUUAUUUCUCUUUCUUUGCACUGAGCAAUUUACUUAAAGCUGUUUGCAUUUUCGCAGGACAGGGCUGCUCACUUCUUCUGAACAUGCAAAAUUUAAUUUAACUAAGGCCUAGUCCUGGCUUAAGCUAAACCCCGUUUGUGAAACCGGGCCUUCAAGUUUUUAAUCUAAUCAACAUGUGCAUGGACAAACAUGGAUGCCUUAUGCAAUAUAUGUUUAUUAUUAGUGAAACCAUAGUUAACAGAGCAUGAAAAGUAGACAUGUUUCAUAGGUCAUAGAUGUUUUUCAAAGAACUUGUUCAUGUCUAUUAGACACGUGGAGAAAAAAAAAACAGAAAUACUAGGUUCCUAUUAUUUCUCUUUCUUUGCACUGAGCAAUUUACUUAAAGCUGUUUGCAUUUUCGCAGGACAGGGCUGCUCACUUCUUCUGAACAUGCAAAAUGUACAUUUAUUACUUAUUAUUACACUUGUUUGCCUCUCUGUGACACAUACUGUAUUUUGAUGCAGCUAAAUUCUCAAAACUGUUUUCAUUGAUAUAUUUGACUGUUUCUGUUGUCAAACAACGGGAUGAACAUGAAAUAGUGACUGAAACGCGACCCAUUAACACUACAGCUCUCCCUUCCAAGAUGUUAAUCUGCACAAAAAUCCUGAUUUAUAAUCGUGCCGUCGUCUGAUAAAAUCAAAUAGGCUACACAUAAGAUAAAGACAAUAGCUGUGCAGUGAUUUCGGCUAUACUUACAAUUUAGAGAAGCAACACAUCUGUGUUUUAACUGAAAGAGCAGCUCCUUUCAGCCGCUCGCUGAACAGAGCAGACGCAGAGAGAGAAGUGUGCGCGCGCGCUGGGAAAGCGAGACCUGGCGCUCGUGCUUCAGUCAACUUCAGAUGAAUAAUAUUUUCAUUUGCUACAAGCAGGAUACACAAGAAACACGUUCAACUCGGACACGCAGACUGUUGUCGUGGUAAUAAACACCGUAAACAGAAACUGUUCGCGUAUCCGCGCUUAAUGCGCAUCUCGUAGGCUAUAUGAAAACCAUUAGGGGGCCCCUUGGCUUUUUGGGGCCCAAGGCAGUCGCCUACCUUUGCCUAAUGGGUAAGUCCGCCCCUGACUAUAAAUACUUGUUUUGAAGAAGACAUGGCUUUCCAUUGCAGUGUAAUUUGUUUCGUGCAUUGUGUUUGUAUAUUUCAGUGAAGAAGACAUGGCUUUCCAUUGCAGU
rnacentral:lncRNA from 1 species